CCUACGGGUUGCACCAGUGGGGAAUAUUGGACAAUGGGCGAAAGCCUGAUCCAGCAAUGCCGCGUGAGUGAUGAAGGCCUUAGGGUUGUAAAGCCCUUUUACCCGGGAUGAUAAUGACAGUACCGGGAGAAUAAGCUCCGGCUAACUCCGUGCCAGCAGCCGCGGUAAUACGGAGGGAGCUAGCGUUGUUCGGAAUUACUGGGCGUAAAGCGCACGUAGGCGGCUUUGUAAGUUAGAGGUGAAAGCCUGGAGCUCAACUCCAGAAUUGCCUUUAAGACUGCAUCGCUCGAAUCCGGGAGAGGUGAGUGGAAUUCCGAGUGUAGAGGUGAAAUUCGUAGAUAUUCGGAAGAACACCAGUGGCGAAGGCGGCUCACUGGACCGGUAUUGACGCUGAGGUGCGAAAGCGUGGGGAGCAAACAGGAUUAAAUACCCGUGUAGUC
rnacentral:rRNA from 1 species